AUGGGGAGCAGCACGUCGUCCACCCGCCGCGCCGGCGGCGCGAGCAAGGCGCAGCGCUCGGGAUCCCACGAGGGCACUCACGUGUUCGAGAUCUCAGGCUACAGCCUGUUCCGGGAGCGGCUGGGAGAACGCGGGAGCGUGUCGUCGGCCGAGUUCGCCGUCGGAGGCCACGACUGGCAGAUCCAGUUCCGCCGAGAGCUUCUCAAAGACUACGCGGCGGUGCUCCUCCUGCUACGGAGCAAGAACGGGGACGCCAAGGUGAGGGCAUCCUUUCGGCUCAGCCUGGUGGACGUCACCGGGCGCUCGCCGCCGCACACGAUGGCGAAGACGCACGAGUUCGAUACCGGCGGCAAGAGUUUCUCCACCGGCUUCUACCGGUUCAUGGAGAGGGGCGAGCUAGAGGCGUCGCCUUACCUUCGCGACGACCGCCUCACCAUCGAGUGCGUCAUCAGCAUUCUCAAGGACGCGAGGCCGUUCGUCGAUGACGUCGCCGACGCCGAGGUGCCGCCGUCCGACAUCGCGGCGCAUCUCGGGAAGCUGCUGCAGGGGAAAGAGGGCGCCGACGUGGUUCUCGAGGUCCAAGGGGAGGCCUUCCACGCCCACAAGCUCGUGCUCGCGAUGCGGUCGCCGGUCUUCAAAGCGGAGAGCUGUAUGGCGCCAUGA
rnacentral:rRNA from 1 species